rnacentral:tRNA from 1 species
GGAAUGGUGCAAGAGCGGUUUAAUUGGCACGCCAGGAAAGCGUGUGUGCGGGAAACCGUACCGAGAGUUCGAAUCUCUCCCCUUCCG